rnacentral:rRNA from 1 species
GACGAACGCUGGCGGCGCGCCUAACACAUGCAAGUCGAACGGAGCUGAGAGAAGCUUGCUUUUCUUAGCUUAGUGGCGAACGGGUGAGUAACGCGUGAGUAACCUGCCCUGGAGUGGGGGACAACAGUUGGAAACGACUGCUAAUACCGCAUAAGCCCACGAUCCGGCAUCGGAUUGAGGGAAAAGGAUUUAUUCGCUUCCGGAUGGACUCGCGUCCAAUUAGCUAGUUGGUGAGGUAACGGCCCACCAAGGCGACGAUUGGUAGCCGGACUGAGAGGUUGAACGGCCACAUUGGGACUGAGACACGGCCCAGACUCCUACGGGAGGCAGCAGUGGGGGAUAUUGCACAAUGGGGGAAACCCUGAUGCAGCGACGCCGCGUGGAGGAAGAAGGUUUUCGGAUUGUAAACUCCUGUCGUUAGGGACGAUAAUGACGGUACCUAACAAGAAAGCACCGGCUAACUACGUG